AAAUAUCCGCACAAAUUACUUGCAAGUGGCUUAUUGAGCAUUACAUCAAAAAUUAAGAUGAAUUUCAACGCAAUGGCUUUUUUCCUCAUCUUUAUGAUGACAGGACUAUGUUUUUCGCAAAAGGCUGAAGCGCGAGAUAUUUCCCCUUGUUGUUGUGACAAAGACCCCUCAGUUUGUUAUCGUUUGUGUGGCUAUAUACAAGACUAUUACUGUAACGGCAUGUACUGUAUUUGUGGGAGUAAACGACCUCCAGUUCAGUUUGCACAAACUAAUGGAACUACAAAUUUAAGAAUUUGAGUUUCUACAGACAAAAAUAGAAGUGGAAUUCAAUUUCAGUUUUAUGUAGUUUACAAUAUAAGGCAUUACCAGAUAUAAAAGCUUAUGUUUUUCUUC